CGUGGUCAUGGCGGGGCACGUGGCGCUGGCCGUCCUGCCCGGCCUGGCCGGCAUCGGGGUCGGCCUGGUGCUCGUGGCGCUGGGCAGCGGC
rnacentral:tRNA from 1 species